rnacentral:RNase_P_RNA from 1 species
ACAGUAGUCCGGUUUGUCGCUUUGUCUUAUGGAUAAAGAGGAAAGUCCGGGCAACAAAGGGCACCAUACUUCCUAACGGGAAGCUGUUCGCGAGGGCAGAGGAGUGUAACAGAAAAUAACCGCUCUUUCGGGAGUAAGGGUGAAAAGGUGAGGUAAGAGCUCACCGGUAUUGAUGGCAACAUCAGUAGCCGUACACCUUAUGGGUUGCAAGAUCAUGUAUACCGGCGUAUGUAGGACGGCCCGUCCGAUGCCGGGGGGUAGAUUGCUAGAGACAGUUGGCGACAGCUGUUCGAGAUAAAUGACAAACACCCUGCUUGCAGGGAACAGAACCCGGCUUACAGGACUACUGUUUUU